rnacentral:rRNA from 1 species
UACUUAGUGGCAGACGGGUGAGUAACAUGUGGGUAUCUACCCUUUGGCCUGGAAUAACACGAGGAAACUUGUGCUAAUACCGGAUAAGUCUUUACGGAGAAAGCUUUAUGCACCAUUGGAUGAGCCCGCACUUGAUUAGUUUGUUGGUAGGGUAAUGGCCUACCAAGACUAUGAUCAAUAGCUGAUUUGAGAGGAUGAUCAGCCACAUUGGGACUGAGACACGGCCCAAACUCCUACGGGAGGCAGCAGUGGGGAAUCUUGCACAAUGGAGGAAACUCUGAUGCAGCGAUGCCGCGUGAGUGAAGAAGGCCUUUGGGUUGUAAAGCUCUUUCGUCGGGGAAGAAAAUGACUGUACCCGAAUAAGAAGGUCCGGCUAACUUCGUGCCAGCAGCCGCGGUAAUACGAAGGGACCUAGCGUAGUUCGGAAUUACUGGGCUUAAAGAGUUCGUAGGUGGUUGAAAAA